ACUUCAAAAAAAAAAAAAAAAAAAAAAAAAAAAAAAAAAAAGGAAAUUUUUUUUUUUUUUUUUUUUUUUUUUUUUUUUUUUUUUUUUGGCGGAAACAUAAAUAAUUAACUAGCAUGUGGCACCAAACAAGCCACCAUGAAGGCAUCAUUAAAUAUGAAUGUUUCAUUUUCUCAUUUCCAAAUGUUCUACUGAAAAUAGUGAAUGAGAACCUAUUUCUCAUCUUGCAAAAAUGAAGAGGAGCAAAUUGGCUCCCUUCACCACUGUAACAAUUUGCAAAGUUAAAGCAGUUCACCCCACUUAAUCUCUCCUAAUUUACAGGCAAAAGAAUAAGCAAAAUCUCUUCCUCUCCCACAAAUCACUGUGUACUGUGUAGACCAAAUGAACCAACUGCUUCAGUCCAGGUAAAAGAGAGUCACAAUUUUCCGGAGGUUUUUGGCUUCUUGACAAGUUUCCAUGAGCAGCUUGCUAUCAUGGAAGGCAAAGCAAAUGACUUGCUGUACAUGUGAUAUGAUGUCCAUAUUAC
rnacentral:lncRNA from 1 species